rnacentral:rRNA from 1 species
GUGCCUACGGGAGGCAGCAGUGAGGAAUAUUGGUCAAUGGUCGGGAGACUGAACCAGCCAAGCCGCGUGAGGGAUGAAGGUACAGAGUAUCGUAAACCUCUUUUGUCAGGGAACAAAGGCGGGGACGCGUCCCCGGAUGAGUGUACCUGAAGAAAAAGCAUCGGCUAACUCCGUGCCAGCAGCCGCGGUAAUACGGAGGAUGCGAGCGUUAUCCGGAUUUAUUGGGUUUAAAGGGUGCGUAGGCGGGAUGCCAAGUCAGCGGUAAAAAUGCGGUGCUCAACGCCGUCGAGCCGUUGAAACUGGCG